rnacentral:rRNA from 1 species
AAUGGGCGCAAGCCUGACCCAGCAACGCCGCGUGAAGGAAGAAGGCUUUCGGGUUGUAAACUUCUUUUAUGAGGGACGAAACAAAUGACGGUACCUCAUGAAUAAGCCACGGCUAACUACGUGCCAGCAGCCGCGGUAAUACGUAGGUGGCAAGCGUUAUCCGGAUUUACUGGGUGUAAAGGGCGUGUAGGCGGGACUGCAAGUCAGAUGUGAAAUUCCAGGGCUCAACCCUGGACCUGCAUUUGAAACUGUGGUUCUUGAGUGAUGGAGAGGCAGGCGGAAUUCCCUGUGUAGCGGUGAAAUGCGUAGAUAUAGGGAGGAACACCAGUGGCGAAGGCGGCUUUCUGGACUGUAACUGACACUGAGGCACGAAAGCGUGGGGAGCAAACAGGAUUAGAUACCCUGGUAGUCCACGCCGUAAACGAUGAGCACUAGGUGUCGGGGCCGCAAGGUUUCGGUGCCGCAGUUAACGCAUUAAGUGCUCCGCCUGGGGAGUAC